AUUUAGGGUAGUGAUUAUGUCUU
rnacentral:piRNA from 2 species